UGCCAGGAUAAAAUCUUUCUGAACUUAUUACAUCGGUGCAUUUACCCGACAAUUUUCUGUAUUGUAUUCCCUGCCUAGACUCACUUGCUGGUCUCAAUGACUGUUUCCGCUCAUAAACAUGGAUUUAGAAGUGUGAAAUUCUGAUCAAAUACCUUGUUGAUUCGCGCUACAUAGCUGGUCAAUCGGAAAUGGGGCAAAUGAGUACUAAAUAAGGUUAAGGAGAUGUCACGGCUGAGAUAGUUUAGCAUUAUUACAAUACACAAUCGGUAUUGAAAUUGUGUUUCCAAUACAUGUGCUCAUUAGAUAAAUCCUCAAUAUCUAUGUGAAAAUAAGGGAUGUGUUUUGUAUGAUUGGAACACUGUGAGUUGCUCUAAUUACUGACAAAUGACUGAAACAAUAGGAAUUCGUACGAGAGAUGGAUAGACAAAACGACAGUGAGAGAGUUCAAUAACUACAUCAUGAAAGAAAGAUGAAGGACUGAGGACUGCUCGGCCACUUAAUGGAGAUGAACUAUGCUCAACACUCAAGAGAAGAUGAAAGAUUGCCUUUGUACUAUCAAGAAGGCAUUCAUAAUAAUUAGAUAUAACCCAGAGUAGCUUCAGGCUUCGUAUAAUUUCCUUCGCAACCCGAAGGGGUCUGGUUUCCUGCAGGAGUGGGUGUUGGCCAUCACUGAGUCUCUUCUUUGCCAGCAGGCCGGCAAUAUCGCUAUCACCGAGAUGAACGACGACGUACGGUGGAUUCUUGCGGUUUACUCGUUUCAUAAAGUUGCGGUACUCUGGUGUGAACAUUAUGCCCGUCAGCUUCGCCCCGCAUAUGCAGCUUGAGGUUCUAGAUCUCGCAUCAGGUUGGUUUUUCUUCAAAUGACAAGAGCCAAGAAAAGCCAUGUUUGUUUUCAAACAGAAUUGAAAAUAAUUGAUGCAAGAAGAAUAUAUCAACUGUGAGAUAAUAGGAGGCGGAGUGCAAAUGACGUAGACAACUGUGA